rnacentral:rRNA from 1 species
UUAGCUAGUUGGUGAGGUAAAGGCUCACCGAGGCGACGAUCUGUAGCGGGUCUGAGAGGAUGAUCCGCCACACUGGAACUGAGACACGGUCCAGACUCCUACGGGAGGCAGCAGUGGGGAAUUUUGGACAAUGGGGGCAACCCUGAUCCAGCCAUGCCGCGUGAGUGAAGAAGGCCUUCGGGUUGUAAAGCUCUUUCGGCCGGGAAGAAAUCGCAUGGGUUAAUACCCUGUGCGGAUGACGGUACCGGCAUAAGAAGCACCGGCUAACUACGUGCCAGCAGCCGCGGUAAUACGUAGGGUGCGAGCGUUAAUCGGAAUUACUGGGCGUAAAGCGUGCGCAGGCGGUUUUUUAAGACAGGCGUGAAAUCCCCGGGCUCAACCUGGGAACUGCGCUUGUGACUGGAAGGCUAGAGUAUGGCAGAGGGGGGUGGAAUUCCACGUGUAGCAGUGAAAUGCGUAGAGAUGUGGAGGAACACCAAUGGCGAAGGCAGCCCCCUGGGCCAAUACUGACGCUCAUGCACGAAAGCGUGGGUAGCAAACAGGAUUAGAUACCCUGGUAGUCCACGCCCUAAACGAUGUCAACUAGGUGUUGGGUGGGUAAAACCAUUUAGUACCGGAGCUAACGCGUGAAGUUGACCGCCUGGGGAGUACGGCCGCAAGGUUAAAACUCAAAGGAAUUGACGGGGACCCGCACAAGCGGUGGAUGAUGUGGAUUAAUUCGAUGCAACGCGAAAAACCUUACCUACCCUUGACAUGUCCAGGAGCCUGAAGAGAUUUGGGUGUGCCCGAAAGGGAACUGGAACACAGGUGCUGCAUGGCUGUCGUCAGCUCGUGUCGUGAGAUGUUGGGUUAAGUCCCGCAACGAGCGCAACCCUUGUCGUUAAUUGCCAUCAUUUAGUUGGGCACUUUAACGAGACUGCCGGUGACAAACCGGAGGAAGGUGGGGAUGACGUCAAGUCCUCAUGGCCCUUAUGGGUAGGGCUUCACACGUCAUACAAUGGUCGGUACAAAGGGUUGCCAAGCCGCGAGGUGGAGCCAAUCCCAGAAAGCCGAUCGUAGUCCGGAUCGCAGGCUGCAACUCGCCUGCGUGAAGUCGGAAUCGCUAGUAAUCGUGGAUCAGCAUGUCACGGUGAAUACGUUCCCGGGUCUUGUACACACCGCCCGUCACACCAUGGGAGCGGGUUCCGCCAGAAGUAGGUAGCCUAACCGCAAGGAGGGCGCUUACCACGGCGGGGUUCGUGACUGGGGUGAAGUCGG